rnacentral:rRNA from 1 species
GCUUGUCUCAAAGAUUAAGCCAUGCAUGUCUAAGUAUAAAUGCUAUACAAUGAAACUGCGAAUGGCUCAUUAAAACAGUUAUAGUUUAUUUGGUAAUAAAAUUACAUGGAUAACCGUGGUAAUUCUAGAGCUAAUACAUGCUGUUAAGCCUGACUUCUUGAAGGGCUGUAUUUAUUAGAUAACAGACCAGCAGCUUCGGCUAUUGUGGUGAAUCAUAGUAACUAAUCGGAUCGCAUGGGCUAGUCCCGCGACAAACCAUUCAAGUUUCUGCCCCAUCAGCUUUCGACGGUAGUGUAUUGGACUACCGUGGCUUUUACGGGUAACGGAGGAUUAGGGUUCGAUUCCGGAGAGGGAGCCUGAGAAACGGCUACCACAUCCAAGGAAGGCAGCAGG